UUUACAUAGAGUUUGAUCCUGGCUCAGGACGAACGCUGGCGGUGCGCCUAAUGCAUGCAAGUCGAACGGGCGAAGGGGCUUCGGCCCCCUAGCUAGUGGCAGACGGCUGAGUAACACGUAAGUAACCUACCCCGAAGCGGGGGAUAAACUCGAGAAAUCGGGUCUAAUACCCCGUAAGUUCUUCGCACUUCGAUGCGAAGUAGAAAGGUUUCGACCGCUUUGGGAGGGGCUUGCGGCCUAUCAGGUAGUUGGUGGGGUAAUGGCCUACCAAGCCUCAGACGGGUAACCGGUGUGAGAGCACGAUCGGUCAGAGGGGGACUGAGACACGGCCCCCACUCCUACGGGAGGCAGCAGCAGGGAAUCUUGCGCAAUGGGCGAAAGCCUGACGCAGCGACACCGCGUGGGGGAAGAAUGCUUUCGAGUUGUAAACCCCUUUUCCCGGGGAAGAGAACGGACGGUACCCGGGGAAUAAGGUUCGGCUAACUACGUGCCAGCAGCCGCGGUAAUACGUAGGAACCGAGCGUUGUCCGGAUUUACUGGGCGUAAAGUGCGCGUAGGCGGUCUGUUAAGUCUCAUGUGAAAUCUCCCGGCUCAACUGGGAGGGGUCAUGGGAAACUGGCAGGCUUGAGGGCAGCAGAGGAGAGUGGAAUUCCCGGAGUAGUGGUGAAAUGCGUAGAUACCGGGAGGAACACCAGAGGCGAAGGCGACUCUCUGGGCUGUACCUGACGCUGA
rnacentral:rRNA from 1 species